rnacentral:rRNA from 1 species
AUGACAGUACACGACUCUUUUGAGAUCCCGUAACUGGAAUGAAUACUCUCUAAAUCCUUUAACGAGGAUCAUUCCGAGGCCAAGUCUGGUGCCAGCAGCCGCGGUUAUUUCUGUCCUUGUU